AUGAACGCUGGCGGCGUGCCUAAUACAUGCAAGUCGAGCGAACAGACGAGGAGCUUGCUCCUCUGACGUUAGCGGCGGACGGGUGAGUAACACGUGGAUAACCUACCUAUAAGACUGGGAUAACUUCGGGAAACCGGAGCUAAUACCGGAUAAUAUAUUGAACCGCAUGGUUCAAUAGUGAAAGACGGUUUUGCUGUCACUUAUAGAUGGAUCCGCGCCGCAUUAGCUAGUUGGUAAGGUAACGGCUUACCAAGGCAACGAUGCGUAGCCGACCUGAGAGGGUGAUCGGCCACACUGGAACUGAGACACGGUCCAGACUCCUACGGGAGGCAGCAGUAGGGAAUCUUCCGCAAUGGGCGAAAGCCUGACGGAUCAACGCCGCGUGAGUGAUGAAGGUCUUCGGAUCGUAAAACUCUGUUAUUAGGGAAGAACAAAUGUGUAAGUAACUAUGCACGUCUUGACGGUACCUAAUCAGAAAGCCACGGCUAACUACGUG
rnacentral:rRNA from 1 species